rnacentral:rRNA from 1 species
UUCGGGGUGGCNGGCGAUACGGGCAUAACUAGAGUGCUGUAGGGGAGACUGGAAUUCCUGGUGUAGCGGUGGAAUGCGCAGAUNUCAGGAGGAACACCGAUGGCGAAGGCAGGUCUCUGGGCAGUAACUAACGCUGAGGAGCGAAAGCAUGGGGAGCGAACAGGAUUAGAUACCCUGGUAGUCCAUGCUGUAAACGGUGGGCGUUAGGUGUGGGGACCGGUUUGGUUUCUGUGCCGUAGCUAACGCAUUAAGCGCCCCGCCUGGGGAGUACGGCCGCAAGGCUAAAACUCAAAGGAAUUGACGGGGGCCCGCACAAGCGGCGGAGCAUGUGGAUUAAUUCGAUGCAACGCGAAGAACCUUACCUGGGUUUGACAUGCACCAGACGGUUGUAGAGAUACGUACCUCCCUUUGUGGUUGGUGUGCAGGUGGUGCAUGGUUGUCGUCGGCUCGUGUCGUGAGAUGUUGGGUUAAGUCCCGCAACGAGCGCAACCCAUGUCUUAUGUUGCCAGCACUUUGGGUGGGGACUCAUGAGAGACUGCCGGGGUUAACUCGGAGGAAGGUGGGGAUAACGUCAAAUCAUCAUGCCCUUUAUGCCCAGGGCUUCACACAUGCUACAAUGGUUAGUACAACGCGCUGCGAGCCUGUGAGGGUGAGCGAAUCGCUGAAAGCUAAUCUCAGUUCGGAUUGGGGUCUGCAACUCGACCCCAUGAAGUC